rnacentral:tRNA from 2 species
GCCGGGAUGGUCGAGCGGUAAGGCGCAGGCCUGGAGAGCCUGUGGGGCAUCUGCCCCGCAAGGGUUCAAAUCCCUUUCCCGGCG